CCUACGGGGGGCAGCAGUGAGGAAUAUUGGUCAAUGGACGAGAGUCUGAACCAGUCAAGUAGCGUGAAGGAUGACUGCCCUAUGGGUUGUAAACUUCUUUUAUAAAGGAAUAAAACGAGGCACGUGUGCCUUUUUGCAUGUACUUUAUGAAUAAGGAUCGGCUAACUCCGUGCCAGCAGCCGCGGUAAUACGGAGGAUCCGAGCGUUAUCCGGAUUUAUUGGGUUUAAAGGGAGCGUAGAUGGGUUGUUAAGUCAGUUGUGAAAGUUUGCGGCUCAACCGUAAAAUUGCAAUUGAUACUGGUAGUCUUGAGUACAGUUGAGGUAGGCGGAAUUCGUGGUGUAGCGGUGAAAUGCUUAGAUAUCACGAAGAACCCCGAUUGCGAAGGCAGCUUACUAAACUGUGACUGACAUUGAUGCUCGAAAGUGUGGGUAUCAAACAGGAUUAGAUACCCCUGUAGUC
rnacentral:rRNA from 1 species